rnacentral:rRNA from 1 species
CCUACGGGAGGCAGCAGUGGGGAAUAUUGGACAAUGGGGGGAACCCUGAUCCAGCCAUGCCGCGUGUGUGAAGAAGGCCCUCGGGUUGUAAAGCACUUUCAGUGAGGAAGAACGCCUGGUGGUUAAUACCCAUCAGGAAAGACAUCACUCACAGAAGAAGCACCGGCUAACUCCGUGCCAGCAGCCGCGGUAAUACGGAGGGUGCGAGCGUUAAUCGGAAUUACUGGGCGUAAAGCGCGCGUAGGUGGCUUGAUAAGCCGGUUGUGAAAGCCCCGGGCUCAACCUGGGAACGGCAUCCGGAACUGUCAAGCUAGAGUGCAGGAGAGGAAGGUAGAAUUCCCGGUGUAGCGGUGAAAUGCGUAGAGCUCGGGAGGAAUACCAGUGGCGAAGGCGGCCUUCUGGACUGACACUGACACUGAGGUGCGAAAGCGUGGGUAGCAAACAGGAUUAGAUACCCGAGUAGUC